ensembl:lncRNA
UUCCCCCUCGACCCUGAAGAAGGAGUAUGUGGUAGAAGAUUGAUGGAUGUGGACAUUUAAAGCUUUAACUGUAGUGGUAAGGCGCCUAGGCCUGAUCGCAGAACGAUAGAUUUUGGUAGACUCAUGGAGUGUGUACAGUAUUUGUGAGGCUGUCAAGUCCACAGUUCGAUCACGUCUGUCAAUAUUCAACCUUAGAAAAGAAGUGCGGCCUUAUGGUCUCGAUCGUAAGUCUUUAAUUGACCUAAAGUUCAAGUACCAUGAUGUAUAGUAUUGCUGUUAAAGUCAUACUCCUUCUCUGAAUCACGGCUGGUCUUCUUACAUAUUUGUUGUUUUUUUUUUAAUUAGAUUGUGUAUUUCUAUUUUGUUAACAACUGCCAAAUAAUAACAUAUUCCAAAAUAAAACUCUAUGCUGCAAGUACAUUGGAGAAUAUCUUUUUAACUUUAAUGUGUGUCUUUUACAUUGUGGUACGAUUUAACAUACAUAAUUGAUAAUAAGUUCCACAACUGGAGCUUAAGGUACACAAUUGGACCCUAAUGACCACUGCUGUGUACCUUAAAUUAGUUUAUACGGUGUAAUUCUUUAAAGGUACAUUAGACAUAGUCCAGUUCAUUUCAACACAAGCACUUGCCUUUCAACCUGAAAAUCUCAGGGACUGAAGAACGAAAUUGUGUUAAUUCUCGUCAUUGUCAACUGCAGUACAUAACAUAAAAAUACAUAUAAAAAAAAAAAAAAAAAAAAAAACAACAACAGCAUCUACAAAAGCAAGAGACAACUUUAAAAUUAAACAAAUAAAAAAGACUAAUAUGAUGGUAUAUGAACGAGAACAUGGCAAGCAUUGAAAUAAAGAUUUAAUUCUAUUAAAUAAACCUUUAAUAGUAUAUUUACAAUAUAUUGCUGUAUGAAUAGUCUAAUUGCAUUCAACACAAUAACCACUAUACAAAUUGGUUUAAUUUAACAACAAGGGGCCCACUUUCAUUAUUCAUCAGCUUAUAAAAUAGCACUCGAUCCAGCACAGCUUAUUAUCUUUAUAUUUCUUUAUAAGACGAUUAUAUUAGUGUUAAUAUUAGCUCGUUGGCCUCAUUUUCAAUUGCCGCUUGAUUUUCCUGGCAAGCAAAGCAAAGCAAAGGAAAUAAAACCCUGUUCACUUCUUACAGUACGUUUGUUUAAGCUUUAAGUUUGUGUUUACAGGCAGAUGUCCGUCUCUAUCUUCUUCUCAAGAAAACUGCUGGUGUCAUGCAGGUAUUUUGUAUAAUAUGAACAGGGCUGCUGCCCUAUGCAGCUGCGUAACCUGUCUCUGAACAUGCAUAACUUUUCUUGUGUAAUGCCUGACAUAACGUCUGGACUAAAUCUGCCAACUCUGAAUAGGACCCAACAAAUAAGAACUGCAUAUGGAGACAGAACCAGACAUAUUCAAACAACUUUCCAUCUGCUUCCUCCAUGCUGAUAGGUGGGAUGUGGGUUGGCUUCUGUAAACUGCCUCUAGGUGUGAAUGAGUGUGUGAAGUGUGUGCGUGUGUGUGUGUGUGUGUGUGUGUGUGGUGUCCUGUUAUGGUCUGGUGUGUUUCUGUCUCAUACCCAGUGUUCCUUGGAUACACUCUGAAGCCAACCCUAAUCAGGAUAAAGCAGAAACUUAUGAUGAAUGAAUCCCUCAGAACAUAUGGCAAAUGCUUUACUGAACUGUAUCUAGGAAUAAAAAUGCCUCACAGUCUAUCAGAGUAUCACAGUACCUUCAUUUUUAGGUUACAUCAAAGGAAACCGCUUUAAUAGGUGUGACAAAAAAGAAUGACAGGUAAUUUCCUUUUGCCCACAUAAAGCAACACCUGGUAAUGAUGACACAGGGAAGGGGGUUAUUUUGGGGUUUGUUGUUGUUGUUGUUGUUGUUGUUUUUUAGGAGAGAGAGAGACAAACAUUAAUCCCCGUAAGCGUUUUGGGCUGGAACUGUUAUUGUUUACUAAUAAGCAGUAGCAACUGCUACGUCAUAUUAUUUAUCUUUGUUUAAUAUUAUUUUCAUAUUACCGUUAUUAUUCCGAUCCCACGUCCAUCGUAGUGUUAACAAGCUAAAGGUUUUUCUGCAGUCCUUAAGAAGAAUCUGUGUUAAGUCAUUAUGUCAGAGAGUCGGCCGUCUAUAAAAGGGAGUCUAUAGUAUAUGUACAGUCAUUUGUAUCGAAAUUUGUAUUGUGAUUUGCGCAGCAUGCAACAGUGUGCUUGGAAAUUAUUUUAAUAAUAACCUGAUCUAAAUUAUAACGGGGGUACUUUAUUCGGACGGGAUGUUCUUUAAGAGAUGUAUCGCUACUUGGAUACUGGUUUUCGUAUUACUUAGUACUGGGUCGAAAAGAAAAUCGGUGGUAUGGACGUACAAGAUGAAGGUUUUAGGGCGUGAACGUCAUCGGCAUGCGUGGACCUGUGACAUUUCUGAGUGAGGCGGCUGCAAGUGCGAAGAGUCUUUAUUAAAUAAGCAGCUAACAAACCAAGACAGGCAAGGAAAAGAACCAAAAGCUAGAAUAACAAUAAGAAACGACUAGACCUUGGUGUUUUGUCCAAGACCAUUGUCCGUGGUGGAUCUGUCAAGACCAAAAAAAUGAAGGAAAGAAAGAAAGAAUGAAAAUAAAAGUUGCAGGACGUUACAGGAAGACGCUUAGUGCUGUAAUUCUGCAUUCGACCACAACUUGUAACUCUGAAUUUCUGACCUCCGACAAGGAAAAAUCCAAGAACCUCAAGUAACCCUGAGUUCGGCAAGCGACGUUAAAUCAACAUGACUGCUCACAGCACCAACGGAUAAUUUACACUGUACAUACAAGUAGAUCAAUCAACACACGGAUAUAUUAGCUUGUCGCUAACAGUAGAAGAACACGGAGGCAUUCAAGGUUUUGUCUCACUUUGUAACUGGAAUGCACAGAGGUCCACAAUGAGGUUGCCGACUUCCUACUUCUGAGGUAAGUCAAACACAGCGUUAUUCUGGCUUCUCUUCAGGGGGGUGCCAAUCAUUUUAAAACUAAUGUUUUGAACAGUUGCAUGUAUUGUCCAUUUGGAGCGAUGAAACGAAACUGGAACUUUUCAGCACGAUGGAUCAGCGGUAUGUCUGGAGGAAGGAGAAUCGGGAAAUCCUAGGAGAAAACGUCAUGCCGUCUGUGAGGAAGCUGAAGCUUGGACAUUAUUGGACCUUCCAACAGGACAAUGAUCGCAAACAUACCUCAAAUUACACCGAGGCUUGGUUGCAGAAGAAGUCCUGGAAGAUUCUACAGGGCCGUCACAGUCACCUGACUUGAACCCCAUAGAAGAUCCAUGGUGGGAUUUGAAGAAGGCGGUUGCAGCAGCGCAAACCAAGGAAUAUUACUGAACUGGACGCCAUUGCUCAUGAGGAACGGGAGAAGAUUCAUCAGGACUCUUCAUCUCAUUUGCAGCAGGUCAUAACAGCAAAAGGAGCUCUAGAUGCUAGCAAAAGUGCUAAAGAUGCUCGCCAUGAAGGGGUUGAAUCAUUUUGAGACAGGAGAAAUCAUUAUACGUUGCAUUUUCAGUUGAAUUUGGGGAAAACACUUGAAGCGUUCGUCGUGUCGAACUAUUUCGAUCGCUUUUGUUUGAUUUGUUCAUCGCAAACAGCUGAAAGUCUGUACAUUUUGACAGUAAACCCGAUUUGCAAUGGGGGAUCGAAUCAUUUUGAAUGCAACUGUAAUAAAUAAUAGAAAUCUAUUGAAUUAGGUGAAAUAUUACACUGUGCAAAGGGCUAUGUAUGUGCGUGUGUGGGGGUGUGGGGGUGUGUAGAUAAGCUCCAUGGUCCAACAAGCAGAACCUUUGAAACUCACUUUCAUUUCUCUGCCUGAAUAAAGAUAAUAAAAAAACCCUCCUUUUCUUUAGAGGUCAAAUCAAUUUCUCUAUGUAUCUUUCUCUCUCACACUUUCUCUAUUUUGCUGUCUCCAGCUCUCUCUCUCUCUCUCUCUCUCUCUCUCACAUUGUUUCUUUCACCCUCCCUUUCUUUCUCUCUUUCUUGCUUUCAUCUCUCUCUUUCUCCCCCUUUCUUCUGCGUUAUUCGACUUUCUUCAUCUCUCUUUCGCUCUCGCCGUCUCUGUCUUCAUUCGCAUUCCUCAUCUCUCUCUUGCUUUCUUUUCCUCCCCAUCUCUCGCUUUCUUUUUCGCUCUCACUCCCUUUCUCUGUUUAAAAUCGUACAUCUCAGUGUCUUUCUUUAUCUCUCUCUCUCUCUCUCUCUUUCUCUCCUUUUCAUCAUUUUCAUCUCUCUCGCUUUCUUCAUCUAUGUUUUGCUUUCUUCAUCUCUCCCUCAGCUUUGCAUUGUUUCUUUCGCCAUCGCUUUCUUUCUUGCUUGCUUUAAUCUCUCUCUCUUUCUCCCCCUUUCUUCUUUUUAUUCAACUUUCUUCAUCUCUCUUUCUCUCUCACUGUCUCUGUCUUCAUUCGCAUUCUUCAUCUCUCUCUUCCUUUCUUUAUCUCUCUCACUCCCUGUCUCUGUUUAAAAUUGUACAUCUCUACGUCUUUCUGUAUCUCUCUCUCUUUCUCUCCUUUGCAUAAUUUUAAUCUCUCUCGCUUUCUUCAUCGAUCUUUGCUUCUUCAUCUCUCUCUCUCUCUCUCUCUCUCUCUCUCUCUCUGUGGAUUGUCAGUCUUUGCUUUCAUAUUCACAUGCAGCUAUCUCUGAAUUACAUGUUGUAAUUAAAGCUCCACUCAGCACAGCACUUUGAUUUUAUGACUCGUAUAUAAACACCUCCUAAAGUGUGCGUUGCAAACUUCAGCACUUUUUCUCACUGCAGGACUAAAAUGCCAUCAAAUUAAAUAUUUUGAUACAUUCUUUUUUUUUUUUUUUUUUUCCUCAUUGAUGUUCAGUAAGAGGUUGAGACAGUUCUAUGGGUUGGGACUGAAUGGGUAAUUUGAUCAAAUGCUUUCCAUCAGUACAAUUACACUUUGGUCAUUUAGAAUUUGUGACAGCUUUCACGUCUUACAUUCAUCAAAUUGCCCUGUGAAAGAGGGAGAGAGAAAGAGAGACAGAGAGAAACAGAGGGAGGGAGAGAGAGAGAGAGAGAGAGAGAGAGAGAGAGAGAGAGAGAGAGGGAGACAGAGAGUGAGAGGGAGAGAGAGAGAGAGAGAAAGAGAGACAGAGAGAGACAGAGGGAGAGAGAGAGAGAGAGAGAGAGAGGGAGACAGAGGGAGACAGAGAGAGAGAGAGAGAGAGAGGGACAGAGGGAGAGAGAGAGAGGGACAGAGGGAGGGAGAGAGAGAGAGAGAGAAAGAGAGGCAGAGAGAGACAGAAAGAGAGAGAGAGAGAGAGAGAGAGAGAGAGGGACAGAGGGAGGGAG